CUCUCUUUGUUAGGUGAAACUUGGAGCUUGGUUAAGUCUAGUAGAAUGACUUCUGUCACUGCUUGCUCUCUGCUAGUCUGUCCUCUGCCUGGGCUGCCAGCUAUUAGUUGGUUUAGAUUAGAAGAGGAAAUUGCUGAACAAAGUUCCCUGCCUUUGAGGAGAAAUAUUGUAACACUAAUCAGGUUUUAAUUAUAUGUAUCAGUUUCUGUAUGGUUAACAGCAAUUUUUUUUGUUCAGGGAGCUGCAGUUGUAUUCUUCGCCUUGCACGGCAGAGCAGAUCCUUACUUUGUAAUGUUGGAGAAUCUGCAGAACCACAUACCUAUUAAAUGAAGGGGUUUAGCUGUGUGGAUUAUUUCAUGGAACUAGUCUUUUUUUAAAUGCUAUUUGCAUAUCUUGGGAGAGAGUUCAUGAUUGCAAUCAGAACUUCUUGGAAGAGUUCCUGGCUGUAUUUAUAAAGGCCAUGCGGUGAGAAGGAGUUUUUCUCUGUUGAUAACCAGUAUCUGCUUUUAUUUUAAAAAUAUCUCUGAGUGAAGUGUCUUGAUGAAGAGAAUUCAUGCUGGUGAAAAACCAAAUUUGUAAUUUCCUUUGUGAUAGGUUUUGAAAUAAGCAGAAUUUGGGCUGGACUGUUGUUUUUUCAUCACCUGUCUUGAAUUUAGGCCAUGUACUCAAAAACCAGUGUGUUGACCUGUGGUCUGCAGCCACUUUGGGAUCAUGGACUACUGAAGCAUUGUCAAAAGAAACUUCAGAGCGCUCUUAACAUCAGUCAAAAGAAGACUCUUGGUGCAGAUGCAAAUACUGGGUUUCCCCCGAGGCUGCCCUUCUUGCUCCUGAAUGAGCUCCAUGAAUAGAGAAUGUAACAAAUUUGUACUGUACCUCUGGCUUUGAAGUUGGGCUCUUCCUAAUAAAAACCUCCAACGCU